rnacentral:RNase_P_RNA from 1 species
UUGGUGGAAAAAGGCAAUCGCUAUAGUUUUAUAUGCUAUAGAGGAAAGUCCGGACUCCUUAGGACAAGACGCCUCUUAACGAGAGGGCGAAGUAAUUCGACGGAAAGUGCCACAGAAACGAUACCGCCAUUUUUUUGGCAAGGGUGAAAUCGUAAGGUAAGAGCUUACGGCUACAUUUAGUAAUAAAUGAGUGGGUAAACCCCGUCUGGAGCAAGACCAAAUAGAGGAAGAGAAUCGGUCCGGUUCAUUAAUAUUCCCGGGUAGGUUGCUUGAGCCUAAUUGCGAAAUUAGGCCUAGAUAGAUGAUUGCCCUAGACAGAAUCCGGCUUACAUUUCCACCAAUUAA